rnacentral:lncRNA from 1 species
GAACUGACAAGUGGGAUAUGAUAAUGGUACAUAGACUUAAGAAAUGGUAUUGCGUGAACAAAUAGAUUAACGGGAUCCUUUGCUCUAGUCUAAACUCGCAGAUAUCAAAGCCCAAUUUCUAAAAAUUCCAAAAAUUUAACCUUUAUCGAAUUAAACAGCGAUCACAAACUUAAUUUGAUCACACAGCCAAUCACAAAAAUGCUAGAAAACAAAACGCAGCUCCUUCGAUAACAAUGUCAGCAUAAUUCUGUUGUAGGCAUCCAGAAAAUGACCAUGUUUAAUCCUUUUGUUUGGUAAAAGUUAGUUAUGAAUAAGGAGAUCCAAACAAAAUCUUAACAAGCCUAACAGCAUGCAAAUCCAAGAAUUCUAAACCAGAAGUUACAAAUUAGGUUCAUAGUGAAAAAGGAUACUGAAAAGGUAACGCUCCCACCAAUCCAACAUGUAGAGUCCAAAGGUGACAUUGUAGAGAUAGAUCUUGCGUUGAACCCAGUUCAUAUCUCUAAACCCCUACAAAUAAAAAAAUAGAUACCUGCAAAAAUAAUCAGAGUCACCAAAAAUAAUCAAUUCACAAAACAAAUCCAAGAGAAUUAAUAUGAAAAUUCAUGGCCAAAGUGAUUACAAUGAUGAAAUGUGUUGAAUUACACAGCUGAAAUUAUCUCAAUUCAUAAUUCAAUUUCUGUCAGAUGUAACUUCUUUUUGCUCAAUAUAAAAGCCAUGAAGCUAAUAGUCAUCCAUAAUUAACAUAAAGAUGUCAAAAACUCAAUAACUCAACAUCCAAAACUUAUCCAAACCACUUAACUCUCUGGUGCUUUGAACCAAUUAAGAAAGAAAAGCACUUUUUGUUCUUUUUUGAGGAAACAACAACUGAAAUUAUUACCAAACCAUAACAAAGUAAAAUCAACAGCUGUGGAAAUGAAAAUUGAAUAAAAUUUCAGACGUAUCCACAGCGAGGAAGAUCAGGUUCUUUGGAUCAAAUGAAGAUAAAUUUUUAAAGGAUUGAAUGGAGAGAAUUCUGAGGGAAAUUGAAGGAAAUUCUAUGCUAAUUACAACUGAGAAAUAGCUCCUGAUUUCUUGAAUAAGUUACCAGAAAAGAAAACAAAAAGGAAUUCAAAAGCUUACCUAAUCGGUGCACGGGCGGUGGGCGGUUACGUUAAAGGCGGCUCUGGUGAUCAGAUCGACAGUGAAGAGCUUCU